CCACAUCCGCAUCCUUUGCUGAGGAUACGGUUAACGGAGCGAAAGCGACGUUCAACCGCAAAACAAGCAGAGGGGGCUUAGUGGUGGGGUGACUGCGUACCUUUUGUAUAAUGGGUCAGCGACUUAUAUUCUGUAGCAAGGUUAACCGAAUAGGGGAGCCGGAGGGAAACCGAGUCUUAAUUGGGCGUUAAGUUGCAGGGUAUAGACCCGAAACCCGGUGAUCUAGCCAUGGGCAGGUUGAAGGUUGGGUAACACUAACUGGAGGACCGAACCGACUAAUGUUGAAAAAUUAGCGGAUGACCUGUGGCUGGGGGUGAAAGGCCAAUCAAACCGGGAGAUAGCUGGUUCUCCCCGAAAGCUAUUUAGGUAGCGCCUCGUGAAUUCAUCUCCGGGGGUAGAGCACUGUUUCGGCUAGGGGGCCAUCCCGGCUUACCAACCCGAUGCAAACUGCGAAUACCGGAGAAUGUUAUCACGGGAGACACACGGCGGGUGCUAACGUCCGUCGUGAAGAGGGAAACAACCCAGACCGCCAGCUAAGGUCCCAAAGUCAUGGUUAAGUGGGAAACGAUGUGGGAAGGCCCAGACAGCCAGGAUGUUGGCUUAGAAGCAGCCAUCAUUUAAAGAAAGCGUAAUAGCUCACUGGUCGAGUCGGCCUGCGCGGAAGAUGUAACGGGGCUAAACCAUGCACCGAAGCUGCGGCAGCGAACGUAUCACCCAAGACAACUUUACGGAGUUGACGAUUGACGGAGCGAAGCGACGUCAAAGCGUUCAUUAAAGUCGAGUUGGCUUAGGGAUACGUUCGUUGGGUAGGGGAGCGUUCUGUAAGCCUGUGAAGGUGUGUCGUGAGGCAUGCUGGAGGUAUCAGAAGUGCGAAUGCUGACAUAAGUAACGAUAAAGCGGGUGAAAAGCCCGCUCGCCGGAAGACCAAGGGUUCCUGUCCAACGUUAAUCGGGGCAGGGUGAGUCGACCCCUAAGGCGAGGCCGAAAGGCGUAGUCGAUGGGAAACGGGUUAAUAUUCCCGUACUUGGUGUUACUGCGAAGGGGGGACGGAGAAGGCUAUGUUGGCCGGGCGACGGUUGUCCCGGUUUAAGCGUGUAGGUGUGUGUUCCAGGUAAAUCCGGUUCACUUUAACACUGAGGCGUGACGACGAGGCACUACGGUGCUGAAGCAACAAAUGCCCUGCUUCCAGGAAAAGCCUCUAAGCAUCAGGUAACACGAAAUCGUACCCCAAACCGACACAGGUGGUCAGGUAGAGAAUACCAAGGCGCUUGAGAGAACUCGGGUGAAGGAACUAGGCAAAAUGGUGCCGUAACUUCGGGAGAAGGCACGCUGACACGUAGGUGAAGUGAUUUACUCAUGGAGCUGAAGUCAGUCGAAGAUACCAGCUGGCUGCAACUGUUUAUUAAAAACACAGCACUGUGCAAACACGAAAGUGGACGUAUACGGUGUGACGCCUGCCCGGUGCCGGAAGGUUAAUUGAUGGGGUCAGCG
rnacentral:rRNA from 1 species